GAUGAAGAACGUAGUAAAUGCGAUAAGUAAUGUGAAUUGCAGAAUUCAGUGAAUCAUCGAAUCUUUGAACGCACAUUGCGCCCGCCAGUAUUCUGGCGGGCAUGCCUGUCCGAGCGUCAUUUCAACCCUCGAACCCCUCCGGGGGGUCGGCGUUGGGGACCUCGGGAGCCCCUAAGACGGGAUCCCGGCCCCGAAAUACAGUGGCGGUCUCGCCGCAGCCUCUCCUGCGCAGUAGUUUGCACAACUCGCACCGGGAGCGCGGCGCGUCCACGUCCGUAAAACACCCAACUUCUGAAAUGUUGACCUCGGAUCAGGUAGGAAUACCCGCUGAACUUAAGCAUAUCAAUAAGCGGAGGA
rnacentral:misc_RNA from 1 species